rnacentral:lncRNA from 1 species
ACCACUUUCCACACCAUUUCAUCACCACAGCAAUUCUAGAUAUCAUAUGUGUUGCUUAUUGCCUCACUUUUGCACUCUUAUUGUUUAGCUGCCAUUUUAUGGUAACUUAUGUCUGGGGAAGGUGUGGCUUCACUCUCUCUCCAAGGGAAUUCAUAACGACACCAAAUACAUUAGCAUAAUAUUAGCAUCACCACUUGUUUGCUCUUGGAAUGCAUAGAGAAUUUAAU